AGUGAACGCUGGCGGUAGGCCUAAUACAUGCAAGUCGAACGGAAGCACAGUAAGAGUGCGCCCCUAAGGGUGGCGAGUGGCGGACGGGUGAGAAAUACAUAAGAAACUAAUAUUACGUGGGGGAUAACGGAGGAAAAGAGACGCUAAUAGCGAAUACGACGUACGGGAGAGAGCAAGAGUUAAAGACACUUUGGCCGACUGAAAGAGACGGAGUCGGAUUAGAUAGUUUGGGAGGUAACGGAACAGCAAGGCAACGAUUCGGUGCGGGUCUGAGAGGAGGGUUCGCCCCCCUGGAACUUAGACACGGUCCCGACUCCUACGGGAGGCAGCAGUAGGGAAUCUUCCGCAAUGGGCGACAGCCUGACGCAGCCCCGCCGCGUGGGUGAUGAAGGUCUUCGGAUUUUAAAACCCUUUUGUUGGGAAAGAAAAGCAGCAUGUUAAUACCCCGCCGUUCUGACGGUACCCAAAGAAUAAGCACCGGCUAACUUCGUG
rnacentral:rRNA from 1 species